AUCAGCCGAAUUAUUUUGUGUAUUAUAACGCCAGUGAGAAUUCUGAAAUUCCCCUACUUUCACUUUCAUUUUUAGAGGUUCCCGCAGACAGACGCAUUUUGCCGGAAAACGAAUCUGACAUGCCACCUCGAGAUUUUAACCAAGGAAAGACAAGUUGAUGUGCUUUGAUUUGAGGGGUCACUCACUACCGAACGAAAAUUAGGGACAUCGCUAUGAGAAGAAACGUUAACAUUGUCGCCUAUGGGAAAACAAUUAGUGGACUGUACCCAUAUUAGGAAGCCUAUAAGUUCAUGGUGAUUGGUACAGGAAAAACAUGAGGUCCAUGCAGAUGGUGUUUAAUACUAUUGGGCAGCAAAUGCACACCCAUUUGAAUACAUCUUGAAAAAGAACCAGCAAAAUGUGACAGUCGGCAAAAUAUAGGUUCCCGCAGACAGACGCAUUUUGCCGGAAAACGAAUCUGACAUGCCACCU